rnacentral:rRNA from 1 species
CCUACGGGCGGCAGCAGUGGGGAAUAUUGCGCAAUGGACGAAAGCCUGACGCAGCGACGCCGCGUGAGGGAUGAAGGUCUUCUGAUCGUAAACCUCUGUCAGCAGGGAAGAAAGGUCACUGUGCUAAUCAGCAGUGAAUUGACGAUACCUGCAAAGGAAGCACCGGCUAACUCCGUGCCAGCAGCCGCGGUAAUACGGAGGGUGCGAGCGUUAAUCGGAAUUAUUGGGCGUAAAGCGCUCGUAGGCGGUAGGUCAAGUAAAGGGUGAAAUCCCCGCGCUCAACGUGGGAACUGCCUUUGAUACUGGCAAACUGGAGUGUGUGAGAGGUAAGUGGAAUUCCAGGUGUAGGAGUGAAAUGCGUAGAGAUCUGGAGGAACAUCAGUGGCGAAGGCGACUAACUGGCACAUAACUGACGCUGAGGAGCGAAAGCGUGGGUAGCAAACAGGAUUAGAUACCCUAGUAGUC